rnacentral:hammerhead_ribozyme from 1 species
ACCUGGCUGACGAGUCCCAAAUAGGACGAAACGUACUAACUGGAU